CUCUCGAUAGCUUAGUUGGUAAAGCAUUAGACUGUAACUUGAUAAAUUCUAGAUAUUGAUAUCUAAGGAUCGGGUGUUCGACUCACCCUCGGGAGA